GUCUCUAUACAUACAUAUACUAAAAUUGGAAGAUACAGAGACGAUUAGCAUGGCCCCUGCACAAGGAUGAAACACAAUUCUUAUCUAUAUCUCUCUGUCUCU